CUACGGGUUGCUGCAGUGAGGAAUAUUGCACAAUGGGGGGAACCCUGAUGCAGCAACGCCGCGUGGAGGAUGACGCAUUUCGGUGUGUAAACUCCUUUUAUAUGUCAAGAAAAUGACGGUAGCAUAUGAAUAAGCACCGGCUAACUCCGUGCCAGCAGCCGCGGUAAUACGGAGGGUGCAAGCGUUACUCGGAAUCACUGGGCGUAAAGGACGCGUAGGCGGGUUGGAAAGUCAGGUGUGAAAUCCUACAGCUUAACUGUAGAACUGCACUUGAAACUUCUAAUCUAGAGUAUGGGAGGGGGAGAUGGAAUUAGUGGUGUAGGGGUAAAAUCCGUAGAUAUCACUAGGAAUACCUAAAGCGAAGGCGAUCUUCUGGAACAUUACUGACGCUAAGGCGUGAAAGCGUGGGGGGCAAACAGGAUUAGAUACCCGAGUAGUC
rnacentral:rRNA from 1 species